CGACAACCUGUCGCUGAUGGCGCUGACGAUUUCGGUCGGAUUCGUGGUCGAUGACGCGAUCGUCAUGCUCGAGAACAUCAGCCGCUAUAUCGAACAGGGUGAAGACCCGUUUGCGGCCGCCCUGAAAGGCGCCAGCGAAAUCGGAUUUACGAUCGUUUCGAUCAGCAUCUCGCUGGUCGCGGUGCUGAUACCCCUGCUCCUG
rnacentral:misc_RNA from 1 species